rnacentral:lncRNA from 12 species
GUGAAAACGUUAGGGAUAUGAAUUAGGGAUAUUAAAUUAACACUAAAGGGCCUGUGAUUGAUUAUGACUAUUGAUAUUUUUUGUCCGAUAUUGGAUAUUUAGAUGUUUCUGCUUAUUUUAAGAUUAUUAUUAUAAGUACUUUUUCCUUAUAUAUAUAUAUGAAUAUUUAUCCUUAUAAUGUUAAGAUUCCUAAAUUCACUUGGAGCAAACUAUUUAAUUAACUAUUUUUAUCUAGUUGUUGUGUAUUUAAUUCUUUUUUAUAUAAAUAGAUUUAUAAAACCAGCCAUUUAAUUAGUUGUUGAUCUUAUGAAAAUGAUCUGUAUUUGCCAUGAUUUCAGUAUUAAAGCAGACCAAAUCUAUAUGAUUAAUUUUUAAUUCUUUGUUAUACUGUGGGGCCUAAAAACAAUUGACAUUAAAAUCUAAGAGAUUAAAAAUUUUAGAAAAAUUAAAACAGAAAUGUUUGGGACUAAUACUGACAUAAUACAUCAUACAUAGAAUUUAUCAUAGACCUUCCUUAUGUUGUGUUCUUUUUCCUUCAAAUCUACACAAUGUCCAGAAGAUGGCGCCAUAAACCUGUUCUUGGCCCUGCUGUUACUAAAGAGCCCAGAUGUUACUGUGUCUGAGAGCCGCAUGUUUUUGCCCCACAUUGUGUUUAAGAAAUGAAUAGGCUUGUUACCUGUAGUGGCAUUAAACUAUUAAAGGACGCUUGUUUGUUUUUUCAUUGUAUGAUUUUCUCUUAUCUAGAGAGAUAAUUGGAGUCUUUCUUUCAGCCUGUGAAGCUGUUGCCUGACCUGCAAUCAGCAGUCAUGUUUCCCUGUUGGUCUUUUGUGAUACAGAACAAAGUGUCGUCACGUGUGAUGCUACCGGCUCUACACCGACCGGAUCUGGACUGCACAUGAGCCACACUAGCUGGAGGGUGUAUGGUGUGGGAACGGAGAUGGGGGAUGUCCCUGUGUUCUUCACAGCCCGGGCAGCCAGGCUGUCAGGGACAGGCCCUGGUGGUGAAGCCUGUGAGGAGUUUGCAGAGAUGUCCCGCUCAACAAUGGUGUGUUUCUGUGCUUGUAUGACGUCUAACAGCAUGACAGAAUGGUUCCAGACGUCCUUUCUCAAAAGGUCAAGGGAAUGGGAUUAUAUGUCAAGUGUCUGUGUCGUCAUGUUGGUUUCUAGAGAUCACCAGGCAUAUCGCACGUGUGUCACUGCACACACACGAGCAAGGCUGGCACAAAGCAGCUCAACAGAUGAGACCUCAUCAGCUGCAUCCGUUUAUAGUCAUGAACAGCUGUUUUAG